AUGCAGCCUUUUAUUGCCUGCUGUGUGCAGGCUUUGUCCUGCCUGAGGAGUACUCAGUGCCUAUUCUCAGUUACUCACUGGACACUCAGUGCAGCGAGCUGCCUGCAGAAACAAACCUCUGCAGCCUCUUUCUUGAGUUACUCUGAGUAACACCAAACCCAGCCCCGAGGACGGUGAGCCAGAGUGGCACACUGAAUGUUUAAUACUAAAUGGCCAAGCUGCUAGCCAGAGCUGUUUCAUCUGUUAAAUAAUGGGGCCUGGGCCAUCUGGUAAGCUUGCCUCAGACAAUUUACAAGGGGGGUAAUUAAUUUUUCAGUAGCCCUUUUCUUUUUCUCCUCUCCUUACAGGGAAUGUGCAUUUGGGUUUAACCUGGAUGACUCUGAGGUAGCCUUUGGAGUUUAUUUUACAGUCACAGAGGGUUAAGUGACUGAAAAUUGCCCUCUUCCGAAUUUCAGAUGAGUUCCCAUGCUUUUCGAUAUGGCAUCCCUGUUGAUUCUGUCAGUGCUGUCCCACAGGGUAUAGAACUCACAAAGAGCUUCCACUCAGAGGGGAACUCUUUGAGGUUUUAGGACACCAUGUGAUAAAUUUAAAACCAUCUUUCUCAAAGCCAGGUUAUUCAAUCCCAAACUGGCUAUCUGCCAGCUCCAUUCUCUGGCAACACUCCCGUCAGGAAUCCGUCACAUCAUGGCCCAGACCCUGCCUCAUCUCCAGCAAUUACAUUGGAAAUAGCUAAUGUAUGCAAGGAUGGAAACAGAAGGUCUCUCUCCUCUUUGGAGGGGAGGGCAUCUUCCUCUUCCCAGCUCACCCUAAGCUUCAUUCCUGUAGCCGCAGACUGCUACCCGCUCUGAAGGAGGAUGAGAACAUUCUAUUUCUGGUGGUGCUUCGCGCCCAGGCUUCCUGCGCCCGCGGGAGACAAAGUUUAUCAGCAAUUUCCACACAGCCGUUUCCCAGACUCGUCGGCAGAAGCAGCAGUGACCUUCUGGGGCCGGGAGCAGUGGCGGCGGCGAUUCGGCGGCGAGUUACGGUAAUGAAGGAGGCUGCUCCGAACCGCUGAGUGGAUCCUGAGGCUGGGACCGUGGUGCAGAGAGGUUAAGCAGCCCCCCCGGCAGCUCCCCCCC